AUGGGGAUGAGGUUUGGGGAUGAGGGAGCGGCCGUGACCCUGCUGGAGUGCAGGGGGGGCCUCCAGCCCCCCGGGGCGUCCCUGCGCCUCCUCUGCCGAGGGUCCGGGUCCAGUUUUGAGGAUUAUGGAAUGUACUGGAUCCGCCAGAGACCCGGGCAGGGGCUGGAAUUUGUUGCAAGUAUCUACAACAAUGGUGGCAGCACCGAUUACGCGCCAUCAGUCAAGGGUCAGUUCACCAUGUCCAAGGACAACGGGCAGAGCUCGGUGACGCUGACCAUGAACAACCUCAAGGACGAGGAUUCCGGAUCCUAUUUCUGUGCAAAAGAUGCUUAUGGUCGUGGUUCUAAUCUCAGUGGGGAUCACUUCUGA